GUGGGGAAUAUUGGACAAUGGGCGCAAGCCUGAUCCAGCCAUGCCGCGUGUGUGAUGAAGGCCUUAGGGUUGUAAAGCACUUUUGUCCGGGAAGAUAAUGACUGUACCGGAAGAAUAAGCCCCGGCUAACUUCGUGCCAGCAGCCGCGGUAAUACGAAGGGGGCUAGCGUUGCUCGGAAUCACUGGGCGUAAAGGGCGCGUAGGCGGACUCUUAAGUCGGGGGUGAAAGCCCAGGGCUCAACCCUGGAAUUGCCUUCGAUACUGAGAGUCUUGAGUUCGGAAGAGGUUGGUGGAACUGCGAGUGUAGAGGUGAAAUUCGUAGAUAUUCGCAAGAACACCAGUGGCGAAGGCGGCCAACUGGUCCGAUACUGACGCUGAGGCGCGAAAGCGUGGGGAGCAAACAGGAUUAGAUACCCUAGUAGUCC
rnacentral:rRNA from 1 species